GGGUGAUGUUUUUCCAAAUACUUCAUCUGAACAAUCUUUAGAUUUUCUUUUCCUUGUGGAAGUGAUUCUUUAAUAUCCUUAUCUUAAUGUUCAUAAAAAGACUUUCUGACUGCACCUCUGAGACUUGAUAGCAAGAAAAUGAAACAAAUAUAUGAUCCACAAACUACCAGUCACAAGAUCAUAAUAAUAGCAACUAUAAUUCUUGUUUGAUUGGAAAAGGAAAUUGGAGGGUAGAGUAGCGCCAUUUAUGCAACCACCCACAGUGCCAUCAUCAACAAAGGACUAAAAUAUAUAACUAGCAUGGAUACAAACCAAAUAACGGUAGCAAGCAGAUAAAUAUCACUCAUCAAUGCCAGGAGUACGCCAGACCGGCAGCAGCAAAGGCCUCAACCGGGAAGGUCCUGGUGACCCCAGCAAGGCUCUUGAAGUGGAUCUUCCCGGUGGGCGGGUCGUCAAGGGUGAUCUCAUUGACGUACAGGGGGCCAGAGCAGGAGCUCCUUUGCCUUCACCCCUUUGAGCUUCUUGAUGCGGUGCUUCUCAACAUGGCCAUUGAUCUCGGUGUGAUAGCUCACGAGCUUGCUCACCAUCUUGAAGCUGUGCUCCACCUUCUUCUUCUGGACAAUCCACAUGUAGCCGGUGCUCUUCACGAAGCAUACCUCGACCACG
rnacentral:lncRNA from 1 species